rnacentral:lncRNA from 1 species
UGGGAUCUUGUGACAUUACUCACUUUUGUGUGAAUUUAAUUGCAUUGUUAGGGUCCCCCACAGAUGUGAUCUUCUUGUUACUGUGGUUUAAAUUUGGUAUGGCAGAAUAUAAAACUCCCCUAUUCUCCUCUAAGCCGUGUGUAUAGGUCUCUCCCCUUCCUCUUAAAUGUAGCAGAGGCCCCUAAAUGUGCUAUAAAUCACUUCUCAUAUGAUGCUGUUAGUACAUACUCUUCUUCUUACAAAAGACAGCAAGAAACACAGGGAUCCUGUUCAGCAUUUUCGCAUGCGGAAAAAGUGAGGCUGGUGCUUUCACUGAGUCCCUGUGACCAAACAAAGUGUUGACAUGAUCGUUAGAGUUGGUACUGUUGGGCUAGAGAUGUUUUCUCUUCCCAACUUCUGAAUGUAUGAUAGCAACUGCUGACCCUGGCAGAAGGGAAAGGAAAUGACGUAUCUAUACGUCACAUCCGUCAUCAUCGCAGCCAUAAUGGCGGCCUUUUUCUUAAUCGUGGUGCGAAUCAUUGUCCUGUACGAUCUUCCAGUGCUGUCUGCCCCAAACAAAGGCUGUGAAGUUUGUUCUAAUUAUACUGACUUGCUGGUGACAGAAAGAUCCUCUGGGCAUGUCCCCCUCAACAUCUCCAAAGUGUCUUUCAAUGUGGAAAAAUGGAACACGUCCACUUCUCGAUGGGAUGAAGUAAUCAUCUCUGUUACUGGGAAUUCAAAGUCUCUCAACAGCCCCAUCAGAGAGCAGGUCUCUGUGUGUGGGGGAUAUUUCAAUCUGAAAAAUGUGAGCAAAGCAGCUGGGGGAUAUUAUAAGGUGAUACUGGUGCUGUCUGGAAAGUGUGUGGCCUGUAUACAUCUGAGAGUGCUGGAGCCCACCUUAUCCCCACCUCCUAUAGCACAAACCCACAGAGUGAGUGAGGAACCUACCAAUAAGAGUGGAAAGGAGGGAUUGAAGGCUUGGAAAUGGACCAUUCCUGUUGGGCUCUUCGCUAUGGUGCUGAUGAUGUUCUGAUAACAGAGGUUCAUUAUCUUUAGAGCAGGGCAAAAUUAUGGCUACCAAUAAAGAUCUGUGUGUGCCAUGAGCCUGAAGUCUC